CAUAAGAAAGGGAAAUGUAGAAAUUCACAAAGAUACACAUAUAAAAAACACUAAUAUUUUUAUGCCUUUUCACAUUUUUAUAACAAUGCAUGCAUUAAACUCCUUAGUACUUAUCCUAAUACACAUUUUUGACACAAGUCAUGUUUAAUGUCUGAAACCACUUAAUUAUUUAGCAAAUAUAGUUACCAAAUUUCAAAUUAGUGAAGAGUUUUAACUAUACACAAAGAAUAUGCCUCUCUCCAUGCAUAUUGAGCACACAACAUAUUGCUAUAAAUACAAAGGGGGGAACUACUCCUCACCCCCAACUACACUCUCACCCAAAGGAAUUAGUAAAUUAUAUGUAGGAACAAAUCAAAGUAAUUGUGCAAGGUGAGCGUUGAGCGCGAUGGAGAAGCAGGGCACGUGCAUUACUAUCUCCUCUACGCCUUUUCUGCUAAUGUGAGUUAGUAUUUCAUGUGUCCUUCUUCCCCAUCACGACCGCUCAAUCUUAUGCCGACACGCCUCAACUUCUCCAGGAUGGAGAGUUUUCCAUCUUCAUGGGUGAAACUCAUCAAGAGAAUUUACUUUUGUAAAUUGUAAUAUGCUAUAAAUGUGCAUAUAUUUAUCGAGCUUAGAUUGUACUCCAUGAUUUUUCAAUGAUUUUGCCUGGAGAUUGAGAGAAUUGCUCAAUGGAGAAAUAGACGUGUAAAAGUGCUUUGCUGUAUCGUUCCCCACCUCAACAAACAAAAACAAGAGUGAUAUAAAUAAAAUACUAAUUUGCAGUGA